rnacentral:rRNA from 1 species
GUCUGUUUGUAGAUAUAAAGAGUCUGGCCUGCCCACUGAAAAUUGUUUAAAGGGCCGCGGUAUUUUGACCGUGCAAAGGUAGCAUAGUCGUUAGGUUUUUAAUUGAGAUCUUGUAUGAAUGGUUUGACGAAGAAAGAGCUGUCUCUAUAUUUAACGAUUGAAAUUAACCUUUAAGUGAAAAGGCUUAAAUAAACUAAGAAGACGAUAAGACCCUAUAAAACUUCUAUAUGGUAUUGUAUUUGGUAAAAUUUGGAUUUAUAAAGAUCUGAUACAGAAAUAUAUUUUGUUGGGGUGACAAAAAUAAAAUGGAUAAUAACUGUUGAAAGUUAAAUACACUUAUAGAUGAAUAGAUACAUUAAUGAUCCUAACUAGAGAUUUAAAGUUUAAGUUACUUUAGGGAUAACAGCGUUAUUUUUUUUGAGAGUUCUUAUCGAAAAAAGAGUUUGCGACCUCGAUGUUGAAUUAAAGUAUCUGUAUAAUUGUAGGAGUUAUAUAAGAGGGUCUGUUCGACCUUUAAAUCUUUACAUGAUUUGAGUUCAAACCGGUGUGAG